GAGGGACUUGGAGUGUGGCCAUCUUUUUGGUUUGGGAUGGCAGAAAAGAGUCCUUCUUGCUGAGUGUCAGCUAAAGAAGGUUGUCGGCUGGUUGUUCCUCAACUUCUCUGAGCUAGCAGUUUUUCACCCCAGCAUCUGACUUCCAAGUCUUUGUUGAGUCCUCAUCCAGUGGCUGAUGGAAGCAGAGACAGACAUCCACAGAAAUACACUGAGCUGAAAUCUGGAACCUAGUUGAAGAGAGGGAGGAAUGAAGAAUGAAGGGGUCUGUACCAGGUUGGAGAAACCCACAGAAACAGUUGGCCUGAAAAAGGGAAAGCAUGUCGACCACAGAUGCUCUUUGGGAGGCCAGUACGGGACUAAUCCAGCCCCCUGAUCAUAGAUGCCAUCGGGGAGGCCCCUGCACUCCUGGGAGCCUCCAGAGGUGGACUGGCUUUUUGCCCUGGUGUGUGUGUGGGACUUCGAGAUCCCAUCCCACUUGAAGGGAUGCACUCUGUCUCUGAACACAUGGGGAGGGUCCCAGGCCCAGUACAGGAAGAUUUGGUGGACUUGGUGGAGCCCUGGUUGGGGGCCCUACCCUGCCUGGGGAGUGGUGGG
rnacentral:lncRNA from 1 species